rnacentral:lncRNA from 1 species
UUUCAUGCACUGCUUGAUUCCUUUAGCAGUUGCUUUAAAUGCAACGAGGGCGGGGGUCUCAUUGGUCACACGGCUGUAAGAACCUAAAGAUUCCAGCACUUGCCAGGAAACAUCAAUUUGCUCUUUUACUGAAUCAUCUCUGGAAAAUUGCAGCCUGCCAUAAGGCACCAAGAGAAGAGGUACCGCCCCUCCCCCUUGCCACUCCCUGGACCUCCAGGAACGUGGACUUGACCCCACACAUCAAGAUGGUAGAACAGGAGGAAGAAGGCCAGAUCCUGGUGGAGCCACUGCGCCAAACUUGGACUUUCUCCCCCUGGAAAAAAAUGUUUAUUGAGAAAAAUAAAUUAAGCAGAUCUUCUUUGGAUUCUCCAUGAUGCGCUUGCAAAAGCAAAUUCUAGUCCAGGAUUGGCAGCCCCAGCAAUUUACAGAUUCCCCCCUUUUGCUAGUCUCCUCUCCCCU